rnacentral:tRNA from 1 species
GGCUGUGGUUCAGUGAUACAACAUCUGUUUGGCAUGCAAAUGGUCUCAAGUUCAAUCCCUGGCAUCGCCA